ACUCAAAUGAAUUGACGGGGGCCCGCACAAGCGGCGGAGCAUGUGGCUUAAUUCGACGCAACGCGAAGAACCUUACCAAGGCUUGACAUGCGCGGAAAACCGGCAGAGAUGUCGGGUCCUUUUGGGCCGCGUACAGGUGGUGCAUGGUUGUCGUCAGCUCGUGUCGUGAGAUGUUGGGUUAAGUCCCGCAACGAGCGCAACCCUCGUUCCAUGUUGCCAGCGGGUUAUGCCGGGGACUCAUGGGAGACUGCCGGGGUCAACUCGGAGGAAGGUGGGGAUGACGUCAAAUCAUCAUGCCCCUUAUGUCUUGGGCUGCACACAUGCUACAAUGGCCGGUACAAAGGGCUGCUAAGCCGCGAGGUGGAGCGAAUCCCAAAAAGCCGGUCUCAGUUCGGAUUGGGGUCUGCAACUCGACCCCAUGAAGUCGGAGUCGCUAGUAAUCGCAGAUCAGCAACGCUGCGGUGAAUACGUUCCCGGGCCUUGCACACACCGCCCGU
rnacentral:rRNA from 1 species